rnacentral:rRNA from 1 species
UACAGAGGGUGCAAGCGUUAAUCGGAGUUACUGGGCGUAAAGGGCGCGUAGGCGGUUAUUUAAGUGAGAUGUGAAAUCCCUGGGCUUAACCUAGGAACUGCAUCUUAUACUGGGUAACUGGAGUACUGUAGAGGGUAGUGGAAUUUCCGGUGUAGCGGUGAAAUGCGUAGAGAUCGGAAGGAACACCAGUGGCGAAGGCGGCUACCUGGACAGAUACUGACGCUGAGGCGCGAGAGCGUGGGGAGCAAACAGG